rnacentral:rRNA from 1 species
UACAGGGGGUGCAAACGUUGCUCGGAAUCAUUGGGCGUAAAGCGCACGUAGGCGGUCUGUUAUGUCGGAUGUGAAAGCCCUUGGCUUAACUGAGGAAGUGCAUCCGAAACUGGCAGGCUAGAGUACUAAAGAGGGUCGCGGAAUUCCCGGUGUAGAGGUGAAAUUCGUAGAUAUCGGGAGGAACACCAGUGGCGAAGGCGGCGACCUGGGCCAAUAUUGACGCUGAGGUGCGAAAAGCGUGGGGAGCAAACAGG